UCCCUGGUGGUCCAGUGGCUAAGACUCUGAGCUUGCAAUUUAGGGGGCCCAAGUUCGAUCCCCGGUCAGGGAA
rnacentral:tRNA from 1 species